UAAAUAGCCAGGCCGUCUUUGGAUGGUCGCCGGCUUCUUAGAGGGACUGCCGGCGCCUAGCCGACGGAAGCCUGAGGCAAUAACAGGUCUGUGAUGCCCUUAGAUGUUCUGGGCCGCACGCGCGCUACACUGAUUGGGGCAGCGAGUU
rnacentral:rRNA from 1 species